rnacentral:rRNA from 1 species
UACGGAGGGUGCUAGCGUUGUUCGGAAUUACUGGGCGUAAAGGGCUCGUAGGUGGCCAACUAAGUCAGACGUGAAAUCCCCAGGCUCAACUUGGGAACUGCGUCUGAUACUGGAUGGCUUGAAUUCGGGAGAGGGAUGCAGAAUUCCAGGUGUAGCGGUGAAGUGCGUAGAUAUCUGGAGGAAUACCGGUGGCGAAGGCGGCAUCCUGGACCGAUAUUGACACUGAUGAGCGAAAGCCAGGGGAGCAAACGGG